GUGGGGAAUAUUGCGCAAUGGAGGCAACUCUGACGCAGCCAUGCCGCGUGCAGGAAGAAGGCGCUACGCGUUGUAAACUGCUUUUAACCGGGAAGAAACCCCAGGACGUGUCCUGGGUUGACGGUACCGGAUGAAUAAGCACCGGCUAACUUCGUGCCAGCAGCCGCGGUAAUACGAAGGGUGCAAGCGUUAUCCGGAUUCAUUGGGUUUAAAGGGUGCGUAGGCGGAGCGUUAAGUCAGUGGUGAAAUCCUGCAGCUUAACUGUAGACUUGCCAUUGAUACUGGCGCUCUUGAGUGCGCUUGAAGUGGGCGGAAUGUGCCGUGUAGCGGUGAAAUGCUUAGAUAUGGCACAGAACACCAAUUGCGAAGGCAGCUCACUAAGGCGAUACUGACGCUGAGGCACGAAAGCGUGGGGAUCGAACAGGAUUAGAAACCCUUGUAGUCC
rnacentral:rRNA from 1 species